rnacentral:tRNA from 1 species
GUAGUUGACCUGGAGAAACUGCAACUAGUGAGAUAGAGCGUCUAGUAACACCCUUUCAGUGUGGGUUCGAGUCCCACUGGGGGCACCA